CCAAACACACUGCGAUAUAAAUAUUCUCACUACCCUUCACAUUUUUCUACUCUGUUCUCAAAUUUCAUUUUCUACUUUCUAGAGUCUUCUUAGAAUAUCAUCAUUCAUAAUGGGUGAGGUAAGUACAAAAAUGGUGAUUCUAAUGGCGUUUUUUGUUUUCCGGUGACUGAUUUUGUUGAUAUUGUGUUUUUUUUGUUGUUGUUGAUUUGCAGAAGAAGAGUAAGAAGAAUGAAGGAGGAGAGAAGAAGAGUAACAGUGGAGAAGUAGUGCAGAAGAAGGAAGGAGGAGAGAAGAAGAACGAUGGAAACUUAACUGUGGUUUUGAAAUCGGAUUUUCAUUGUGAAGGUUGUGUUACUAAAGUUGUUAAAGCGAUUAAAAGCGUUGGAGGUAUUACUAUUAUGGCGUAUUCCUUUGAAUAUUUUUAUAGGAAUAUCUGUAAAUUGUUGUUGUUGUUGUUGUUCUAUUUGGUAGUGCUUUUGUUUCCAUGUUUCUGCAUUUUGAGUUAAUUGAACUAAAAUGUGUUGUGCUAUUUUUGUUGUUCUUCUAUUUGGUAGUGUGCUUUGGUUCAAUAUUUCUGCAUUUUUCUUCAAUUGAACGGAAAUUUGACAUGUUAUUGUUGUUGUUCUUCUAUUUGAUAGGGCUUUGUUUCAAUGCUUCUGCAUUUUGCUUGAAUUGAAUGAAAAUUUGACAUGUUAUUGUUGUUAUUCUUCUUCUAUCCGCUAGUGAUUUGUUUCAAUGUUUCUGCAUUUUGCUUUAAUUGUACUAAAAUUGAUAUGUUAAUUGUUGUUUUUCUUCUUCUUUUUGGUAGUGAUUUGUUUUAGUGUUUCUGCAUUUUGCUUUAAUUGAACAAAAUUUGGCAUGUUAUUGUUGUUCUUUUGUUUGCCAGUGCCGUGUUUUCAAUGUUUCUGCAUUUUUGCUUUAAUUGAACAAAAAAUUGACAGUUGUGAAUAUUAAUUGCUUGUUCUUCUUCUGUGUUGAAGUGUACUGUGUACUCUCUGAGUCAAAAGCUAAUGGCGAAUGAGCCUCCGCCUGCGUUUUUUUGCAUAUUCCAAGUUCUCUUAUACAUAAUUAUACCUUACUCUCUGAAAAGGUGUGGAGAAAGUUACGUGCGAUGCCGAUUCGAAAAAGUUGACGGUUAUCGGAAAAGUCGAUCCGGUGAUGUUAAAAGAGAAAGUUGAACAGAAAACACACAAAAAUGUUGAACUUGUCUCGCCGGUACCAAAAAAGGACGGCAAAGGAAAAGGAGGCGGCGGUGGAGACUCCGCCGGCGGUGCAGGAGAAGAGAAGAAGAAGCAGAACAAGGAAAAGGACUCAAAGGAGAACAAAGGAGGAGAAGACAAAAAGACCAAAGAGAAAGAGGUACUGCAAAAACUACUGACAAAUUGUCGCGUCGUCGUUUUGCUCAUCGUUAUCAUUCUGCUUCAUUACUAAUCCAUUGUUAUUCUGAUCCCUUUUUGUCCUUACUUACGCACCUGGCGCAUUUUAGCGUUUUCUGGUGUUUCAUUCAUCAUUCAAUUGUUCUUUUCAAAUUCCCAGUAUUAUACAAAACAAUAGAAUUUCUUCUGUUUCAUUUGUCCCCGGAAUAAUCGGUAAAAUCAUGUGCGCCAAAAUAUCACAUGCGUAUUUUAGCAGUUUGUUCCCUGUAUUGGCGCAUCAGUUAACUGUUCAUUUGUAAAAUUUUGAAUUUUCAAAUAAUUACGUGAUUCUUACGUUUAUCAGUUACGGCGAUGAUUAGUGAAAACUGACAAUUACUGAAUAUUCAGAUCUUUUAUUAUUCAUUUAAUUCAUUGUUAAUCAUUUUUUUGAAUUUCUCAACAGCCUCCAAUCACCACAGCCGUGCUGAAGGUUCAUCUCCAUUGUCAAGGAUGUGUACAGAAAAUCUCUAAAAUUGUCACCAAAUGCAAAGGAUAUAAGGAAAUGAAAAUAGACAAGCAGAAGGAUUUGGUGACAGUUACAGGGUCGAUGAACACGAAAGAGCUGGUGGAGCUGUUGAAGAAACAUUUGAAGAAGGAAGUUGAAAUAGUGCCGCAGAAGAAGGAAGGCGGCGGAGAUAAUAACAAGAAAGAGAAAGGCGGAGAUAAUAAUAAGAAAGAGAAAGGCGGUGAUGGUGGUGGUGGUGAAAACGGAAAAGGUGGCAAUGGUGGUGGUAAAGGGAAGGGAAAAGGCGGUGAAGGGAAGGUGAAGGAUGAGGUAGGUGGCGGCGGCGGUGACGGUGACGGAGGUUUUGGUGGUGGUGAGAUGAUUAUGAAUAGUAAUGUAGGUAAUGGUAUGCAGAUGAUGCAGCAGCAAGUUCAAUUUGGAUAUCCAUACCCGUAUAUGUACGGGCCGGUUUAUCCAGCUGAACAGUUUCAGAACCCGUACCCGGUAUCAGUUCAUGCCCCUCAGCUCUUUAGUGAUGAGAACCCAAAUGCUUGCAGUAUUAUGUGAUGAUAAUCAUGAGAUUGGAGAAAAAAAUAAUCAGAACUCUUUUUGCUAAUUUUAGAGAAAAUCAAAAAGCUAAAAACUUGUAGAUAAAGAGAAGAGGGCCUGGUGAUAAUUAUUAAGUAGUACUAGUAUUAAUCAUAAAUAUGUAUGUAAUUAGCUUCUAAAAAUGGGUCAAAAUGUUCUAAAAUUAGAUAAUGAUUAUUAGUAGUAACUCUUUUAAGAUGGCCUUUCCACUACUAGUUAUGGCUUAGUUAUGAAUCUCUGUUGUUUCAAAUUUUUGUAUGUCAUUAUUUAGUGAAGCCAAAUAUCUUGAAUUUGAAGUCGGGUGCAUUCUAUAUAUUACACAGAUAAGAGUAUGAUUUGUAUAUAUUCUAACGGUACAUGUCUUAGGUAUAAAGGCAAAUCUGUUAAAACAAGGAGUAGUGCAUAUACUUUUAUCACUUUGUGAAUAAUGAUGCAAUUGAAAAAAGUUAAGUACUCAUUGUUUAGUCAGAAUAUUCUUUGUAUGAUUAGGUCAAGGAAUGACUAAAUUUGUAGGGUUAAUAAAAUCUUAAAAUGUGAUUCAAUUAUUCCUACACAAGUGAGAUGACUAAAGUUGAAGUGGUAGAAAAAUUAUUUAAAUUAUUUUUGAAAGAAAAAGUUUUACUAGUUUUUUAUUUGCUUUCUUAUUGUAUUCACUGCUCAUAAUGACAAAGACAUAGGUCUAAUCUAAUAAUAACUGCUGCCGCAUUAUUUUAGUGUAUGAUAAAUAAAAUAAAUUAAGUUGGUAUUUAAUGGGAUUCUUUAAUUGACCAAAUUGAGUAUUAGUAGUAGUAAAUAAUUAAGAAAAUCAAGCAUGAGUUUUUGCCCAACGUAUACGGCGCAAAA
rnacentral:lncRNA from 1 species